CCACGUUUAAAUAGGAGAAGAGAUAGGGUUUUGGUGAGAGUCCAAAUUUCUUUGGACUCUUGAAUUUAUGCCACCCAACCCAUAUUUCCUUUUGCACCAAUAUAUCUCAUGGAGAAAGGAUUUUUCCCAUGGAUUCUUACACGCACAAGGAGAAGAGGGUGUGGGGUAUAUGGCGUCCAAAAUUUAAGUGGGCAUGGGACUCCUUAUGGCGCAUGG
rnacentral:lncRNA from 1 species